AACCUAUGGUGAGGGCACAUUUUCAGUAAGUGCUUAUAUCUCUCCCAUGCAUCGUAAAGUGUUUCUAAAUCCAUCUGCACAAAAGAAGAGAUAUCAUUACGUAAUUU
rnacentral:snoRNA from 1 species